AUAUUUACCUGGCAGGGGAGAUACCAUGAUCAAGAAGGUGGUUCACCCAGGGCGAGGCUCAAGACACUGACACCACCCCUCCACCCCCGACCUAUUGUUGUUUUAAAUGUGCUGUACAAAUAAAUUUAGAUUUGAUUAC
rnacentral:snRNA from 1 species